UGACUGCACAUGCAUCAGGUGUCCCCUAGAGUUCCCCUGAACACUUCAUUGGGGACUCCUUUUAACCCUACUGAAGUGUUUGGGGGAACUCCUGGAGUCAUUUGAUAUUACUCAUGAGCGU
rnacentral:pre_miRNA from 1 species